AUGUAUGUUGGUGUGGUGGGUGUAUUUUCAGGCUCCAGCGUCCCUCCUCCUGUCCUGACAGUCUUCCCUCCGUCCGCUGCUGGGCUCCAGUCCAACAAAGCCACUCUGGUCUGUCUGUCCAGUCAGUCUGUGGCUUUUGCACAUGUGACCUGGUUGGCUGCUGGGAGUCCGCUGAGCACUGGGAUCUCUACCAGCACCGCUGUUCAGCAACCAGACCAGACUUUCCAAAUCAGCAGCUACCUGUCCAUCCAGACGUCAGACUGGAACACGGAUCAGGUUUACACAUGUCAAGUGUCUGUGGGCUCCCAGACUUCCGAGAAAAACAUCAACAAGUCAGCGUGUCCCACUGAGCAACAGUAG